UCAUUUGGCCGGCUCAGGGAUGGGUGGAGCACGCUCCAGUCUCAUGGUCCAGGGUUCAGAGGUCGCAGCAUAAAAUGGAGAGUGGAUAUGAGCAUGGAGCAAGCUGAUACCUUCAUUUGAACAAUACGACGUGUGAUUGGGAUGUGGUGAGAAAUGAAGAGAACGACAAAAGAG